CCCUACAAACAUAUUCGUAAUUAAAAGCAAAUUGAGUGACAUCUGAUAUUCAAAUCCAAAAUACGUAAGUAACAUCUAUGAAAAAAAGAAAUGACAGUUUCCAUGAUGUUAUUCUCAGCAGAUAUAACCUCUAAAGAUUUUUAAUACUAUAACAUUGAAAAGGACAAUGUAUUUAACAUGGGAAUUAUAUACAAUGCCUGAAACAUGUUUUGAUCAAUUUAUAAAAUGUCUGAUCAUUAUAAAGAAUGCCCAGAGGAUAGUAUUCAAUGUAUUGAAUCACUCUGACAAGGAAAUUUAAGUUUCGGUUAAUCUAUAAAAUAUGUUUGAGUUAACCAUGUUUAGAACACAUGGGGAGGGUUGGAAAUUAUUUAAAAAAAAGUUCUCAAGCUAUUAAAAAUGAAAUAAGCCAACAAUGAUUGUGAGAUGACAGAGAUAAGAAAACAUCUAUCAGAAUAAAAGAAUAUGUAAGAGCGAUAGGCAGAGUAGAAGCGAUGAUGGAUAAAGAUAAAUGAAUGUCUCCUCUGUUGUUUUUUUAGUAAAAAUCAACAAACAGUCAUUUAUAAUCACAAUUAAUAAUAAGUGCCAUUUAUUGCAGCACUUGAAAUUACGGAGUUGACCGGUGGCUCUUUUUUAAAACACAUUUGGCUUUACAGUUCUUUUCUUAUACCCCUGUGACCUUGAUACACCACUAUUAAACACAUUUGUUUUUACAUUUCCUUUUUUAUACACCUGUAAUCUUAGCACACUGUUAAAAAGUACCACCUUCCUCAGAGAAAUAAAAAUUGAUUUUUCUCAAA
rnacentral:lncRNA from 1 species